rnacentral:lncRNA from 1 species
UGUUUGGAUAUAAAAUGCCCCUACAGACUCAUCAGCAAUUGAGCAAUUUGUCUGCUAAUGCAGUAAUGUACAGAGGUAGAGUAUAAUAGGUAAUACCACCUUGAGUUCGACAUGACAGUACGUCUUGAUUGUCAACUUGAUGAGAUGAAGAACAAUCUAGGAGGUUACCAUCAUCCCAUCAGAGAAGCUCUGUACAGUGGGCAGCAGUUAACACAGAACUCACGGCUGGGGGACCAUCAGGAGCAUGGAGAUGGAAAGACUGUAAGAGCCAGAGGUCAAGGAAGACUGGAACAAA